UAUUUCCAUUUAUUCUACCACCAGUGACACCUUCCUCAUUGCAUAUUUUUGGUUCGCCUUAUGAAAUUCAUCGUUGGUCUGAAUUGAUCUUGUACUUCAUCGUACAUUAAAUUUUCCAUGAACAGGGGCGCCUUUGAGGGAGAGGGGAGUACAGAACAUGAUUAAAACUUUUAAAAACCAUGCUAACUCAUCUACGAUUUUCAUGAGGGGCGUCACGCUAAGACCUUGCCAAGAUGGCGGAAAUUGAAAGAGCUAUUUGGAAGUCCAGUCCUUUUCUAUUGUUUUUGUCUGCGCGGUUAACACGAAGCUGGCUUCACCUUUUGGACUCGAGAUUGGACUCCAGAUUUAUAUGGAGCUCAUUG
rnacentral:lncRNA from 1 species